UUCAUAGAAUCAUAGAAUCAACUAGGUUGGAAAAGACCUUUAAGAUCAUCAGGUCCAAUCAUUACCUCAGGACUGCUAAGUCCAUCA